ensembl:misc_RNA Metazoa_SRP Metazoan signal recognition particle RNA
GCUGGGUGUGGUUGUGCGCACCUGUGGUCCAAGCUACUCAGGAGGCUGAGAUGGGAGGAUUGCUUGUGCCCAGGAGGUCUGCAGUGAGCUCUGAUUGUGCCACUGCACUCCAGCCUGGGCAACAAAGUGAGACUCUGUAUCAA